rnacentral:lncRNA from 1 species
CCUGCCGCCUCCGCGGCCCAGUCGGCACCGGCGAGGCCGUGCUGGAACCCGGGCCUCAGCCGCAGCCGCAGCGGGGCCGACAGUAAGUGCGGAGGUGGCUGAUGCCCUGGGAGGGGGUGCGGACCCAGAAACCAACUCGACCAGCAACAGCAGCCACUCAGCCUGGGACCUGGGCAGCGCCUUCUUUUUCUCAGGGACCAUCAUCACCACCAUCGGCUAUGGCAAUGUGGCCCUGCGCACAGAUGCCGGGCGCCUCUUCUGCAUCUUUUAUGCGCUGGUGGGGAUUCCGCUGUUUGGGAUCCUACUGGCAGGGGUCGGGGACCGGCUGGGCUCCUCCCUGCGCCAUGGCAUCGGUCACAUUGAAGCCAUCUUCUUGGACUGGAGCAAGCUGGAGGCCAUCUACUUUGUCAUAGUGACGCUUACCACCGUGGGCUUUGGCGACUAUGUGGCCGGCGCGGACCCCAGGCAGGACUCCCCGGCCUAUCAGCCGCUGGUGUGGUUCUGGAUCCUGCUCGGCCUGGCUUACUUCGCCUCAGUGCUCACCA